rnacentral:rRNA from 1 species
AGCAGCCGCGGUAAUUCCAGCUCCAAUAGCGUAUAUUAAAGUUGUUGCAGUUAAAAAGCUCGUAGUUGAAUUUCGGGAUCAGAGUGUCGGUCGUGCCUCGGUACGCACUGGUAUUAUUGGUUCCUACCUUCUGAAGAACUGCGAUGUCAUUAAUUUGGUGUCGUGGGGAAUCAGGACUGUUACUUUGAAAAAAUUAGAGUGUUUAAAGCAGGCUUACGCUUGAAUACAUUAGCAUGGAAUAAUGAAAUAGGACGUUUGAUUCUAUUUUGUUGGUUUCUAGGAUUGACGUAAUGAUUAAUAGGGAUAGUUGGGGGCAUUAGUAUUCAAUUGUCAGAGGUGAAAUUCUUGGAUUUAUUGAAGACUAACUACUGCGAAAGCAUUUGCCAAGGAUGUUUUCAUUAAUCAAGAACGAAAGUUAGGGGAUCGAAGACGAUCAGAUACCGUCGUAGUCUUAACCAUAAACUAUGCCGACUAGGAAUCAGACGAUGUUAAUUUUUAAUGACUCGUUUGGCACCUUAAC